rnacentral:tRNA from 1 species
GGUCUCGUAGCUCAGUUGGAUAGAGCAACAGCCUUCUAAGCUGUGGGUCGCAGGUUCGAACCCUGCCGGGAUCACCA